rnacentral:rRNA from 1 species
CCUACGGGAGGCAGCAGUGGGGAAUUUUGGACAAUGGGCGCAAGCCUGAUCCAGCAAUGCCGCGUGAGUGAAGAAGGCCUUCGGGUUGUAAAGCUCUUUUGUCAGGGAAGAAACGGUCUACUCUAAUACAGUGGGCUAAUGACGGUACCUGAAGAAUAAGCACCGGCUAACUACGUGCCAGCAGCCGCGGUAAUACGUAGGGUGCAAGCGUUAAUCGGAAUUACUGGGCGUAAAGCGUGCGCAGGCGGUUUAUAUAAGUCAGAUGUGAAAUCCCCGGGCUCAACCUGGGAACUGCAUUUGAGACUGUAUGGCUAGAGUGUGUCGAGAGGGGGGUAGAAUUCCACGUGUAGCAGUGAAAUGCGUAGAUAUGUGGAGGAAUACCGAUGGCGAAGGCAGCCCCCUGGGAUAACACUGACGCUCAUGCACGAAAGCGUGGGGAGCAAACAGGAUUAGAUACCCUGGUAGUCCACGCCCUAAACGAUGUCUACUAGUUGUCGGGACUUAAUUGUNUUGUACGACAGNACGACGNGAGAGACGCCGCGGAAGGUAGGUACGUUCGAGAAGUUAAAUUAAUAANAGAGUUAGAGGCGNGAGAGNGCGACGGACGACGACGAGGAGGAGGAG